CGGGGUGAGUAACGCGUGGAUAACCUGCCUCACACUGGGGGAUAACAGUUAGAAAUGACUGCCAAUACCGCAUGAGCGCACAGUACCGCAUGGUACGGUGUGAAAAACUCCGGUGGUGUGAGAUGGAUCCGCGUCUGAUUAGCCAGUUGGCGGGGUAACGGCCCACCAAAGCGACGAUCAGUAGCCGACCUGAGAGGGUGACCGGCCACAUUGGGACUGAGACACGGCCCAA
rnacentral:rRNA from 1 species